UACGUAGGCAGCAAGCGUUGUUCGGAGUUACUGGGCGUAAAGGGUGUGUAGGCGGUUGUUUAAGUUUGGUGUGAAAUCUCCCGGCUCAACUGGGAGGGUGCGCCGAAUACUGAAUGACUUCGAGUGCGGGAGAGGAGAGUGGAAUUCCUGGUGUAGCGGUGAAAUGCGUAGAUAUCGAGAGGAACACCAGUGGCGAAGGCGAGUCCCUGGACAACACCUGACACUGAGGCACGAAAGCUAGGGGAGCAAACAGG
rnacentral:rRNA from 1 species